rnacentral:lncRNA from 1 species
GAAAUUCGUCCAUUAAAUUGCUACGACGAUUAAGUUUGUAAACAUCACUUCAAACAAGAAGAAGCCUUUGGAAAUUACUACGUCUUCCAUAGUCGGACUGUGCCUUCCAGCUUGCUUCCUGUGUUGUGCUACAUCGGCCUCGCACUCCCAUGGCACAUGCGGCCUGCAUAUGGAGCAUUUAACUCUCGUCUGCUUCGCAUAUGGCCAUAUUCAUUGGUGUCUUCCUUCACAGCUUAGCUUCAGGUAUGGUAAAGCAGUGACUCCCAAGUACUACAGUUUAGUUAUAGCUUUCACGUAAAGUUCAAUCAACUUGAAAGUUGUCUGCUCCUCUUCUUGCUACUCCUAGGAAAUAAUAGCAGCCUUUAUUAUGUGAUUGAAUCGUUCAGUGUCCUGUGAGCUCCAACAACCUUGCAGUCUUUUAUGGAGAGCAUACUGCAUCUUGAUGGGAGUAGGACAAAGUUACUAUCAUCUAAAGUGAAAAAGAGAUCAAAAGUCAUUUAUGGAGCAAAAGGGCAAAGGAGCACUAAAUUCUGUCUACUUUAUUGGGAAGGGAAGAUCGCUUCUUUCAUUUACGCCAAACUUGAAUGCAUCAUGGCACAAAGAAAGAGAAAGAACUCCCUACCGACAUGCAGACAGUGAGAUGCAGCAGUUGGAGAUGGGCAAGAAGAACCCAUCAUCACUCUACUGAAGAACUUUGGAAGUUGGAACUGCGAACAACAAACUUGUGAUCAGGAGAACCGAUCGAAGCUUAUGUUUCUGGCGAACCAAAGCUUC